rnacentral:lncRNA from 1 species
AUGAAGCGCAAGUCCGAGAGCAGCGGCCCCGAAGGCAGGGCCCAGUCGCCCAGCAAGAAGGUCUGCAAGGCCUCCGAGAGGGGAAGAGUGCUGGGCCCCAGUGUCGCCAGCCCCACCGCCACCUUUGGGGACCUGCGCCACGCCAAGGCCGGACCGCCCCGAUGUCGCCACGUGCCCCCCGUGGCCCCGCCCCCCGAGCUGCAGGACUGGCUGCGCACCUUCCAGGUGAGACAGAGGGGGCAGGCAGGUUGUAGGGCAGGCCUGGGCAAAUUUCGGCCCUCACCCCAGGUGUUUUGGGCUUGGGCUCCCACAAUUUCUAGCACUCCAGUUCUAGGAUUCAAAUCCCUGCUCAGCCAUAGAAGCCUUAACAUGAUUGCUAGUGGAAAUAAUUGCAUCCAGUCUCUGAGCACCUACCCUGUUUCCCCUAAAAUAAGACAUCCCCAAAAAAUAAGACCUAGUAGAGGUUUUGCUGAAUUACUAAAUACAAGGCCUCCCCCGAAAGUAAGACCUAGCAAAGUUUUUGUUUGGAAGCAUGACCGCCGUAAAGAACACCAGAGCAAGCAGGAACGGUAAAUGUACAUACCAUAGAUUGUUGUACAUAGAAAUAAUGGUAGUAACAAGAAAUUUUUGAUAGGAUUCACAGUUUGUCUGUUUAUGCUGGUUUGUGAUGACAACUACUGUACAGUACAUAAUAAAUGUUCAAUUUUUUGUUCAACAAUAAAUGUGAAUUCUUCAUGGAAAAAUAAGAUCCCCUGAAAAUAAGACCUAGAGCAUCUUUGGGAGCAAAAAUUAAUAUAAGACACUGUCUUAUUUUCGGGGAAACACGGUAUCCUUUUGGCAAAUGUGAAUCUCCAUGAACAUGUGGAGACCACCUUUUGAAAACCACUAGUCAAGAAAAGCAUGACCUUGUUAGAAGUAAACUCUUUGAACAAGUGAUACUCAUAAGCAUUCAUGUAAUGGCACACAGGGAACUCAGCUGUUAAACUGAAAAACCAUGUCUUUGAACUGCCAAGGACAAGGCAUGCCACUACAAAAACAUAUUGGGUUAGCAGUGGAUAGUUGUUUCUUUUAAGUUGAAAUUGUAGUUGCAGUUGUAGUUGUAAUUGCCGAAAAGAUAUACACUCCCUCAAAACCUCUUAGUUUAAAAUUUUGGGCUCAGAAAUAAAAAACAAGGUCUUCUUUAAAAAAUAACAUAUCUUGUUUACUCACAAACAUCUUGUAUUAAUUCACCAUACAGACACAUUUCUUAUUGAAGUUUAGUUAUAGAUAGGAUGUGGUUCCUUGUGUGUUGAGUACAGAAGGUAUAAUUCUUAAUCAAUAGCCCACAGUCAUUAGGUAUAGUUGUACUCACUGUAAAGCAGACACUGACUACAAAAUGGAGUCCUGAGUCUGAACAUGCUCAUUGCAAUCACAUGCCUAUAACUUGUCCCACACCAAAGAGGUACAAUCAUACUGGCAAAUCAACGUACACAUAAAAUACAGGUUAGCAAAUAUAUACAUUAA